GCUUCCUCCGUCUCCUCCUGAAGUCCUCUGGCCUCCCGUUUGGCUGCAUGCAAAAGCAUCCUUCAGCCAAGAAAGUGGAAGAGACAGUGUGCUCCUGCUGCUCUUGGUUUGUGGUGUGGCUAUCCGCAGCACGUACAGAACUUGGUCUAGACAGCCUGGCUAAUUUAUAAGCCUUGGAAAUAGGAUCCUAUAAGGAGUUGUACAGGACAAACUGCUUUUAUGGAAGAUCUCUCUUUGUCUGGGAGAAAGAGGGCUGCUGCGAGUCUUAUUCCACUGUGGUCAAGUUACUUCUAGAGCAUAGUGUGAAAGACAAAUCAGAAAGUUUUAGAUAUCGUCUUUUGAAGAGAAUGAAACUGGAUUCAG